CCCAAAACCUCUUCAAAACCUCCGAACAGCGUGAAACCCAGAACCUAGAAGCCCAUUAUCCUCCAAUCUGGCGACCAUGGCCACCUCCACCCUCGCCGCCAAGCCCAAAACUCCCCUCCUCGACCACCACCGCUCCUCCUUCCACGGUCUCUCCCUCCCCUCCCGCGUCUCCGCCGCCGCCGCUCGCUCGCCCAGCUCCUCCAGCCUCUCCAUCUCCGCCCAGUUCACUUGCAAUUGGAACAGUAUUUAACUAUGAAGCUUGCUUGCUGGUUCGUUAGUGAAGUCCCUUGGUGACGGUGAGGUUGGUGAAGAUGCUGGUUGGAUUGGCAAAGCCGGUUUGAGUUGAAGAUGGUGUGUUGGAGAGAGUGAUUCGCCAAGAUUGUACAAGUAGUUGUCCAACCUAAAACAAGAACUAAAGUAUACUUGCCAAAGUUUGCCCAGUGCGAGCAUUUCGAUGUUUAAGUCGGGUAGGGACCUUGGGGAAAUGGUGGAGAUUUAAGAGAGGGUGGCUUGUAGUAUGGAGAAAGCAUAGAGAAAGUGUAAACAAAGCGUAUCCGAAGAUUCCCCAAGUGCUGCCGAUAUAUGGUGAGGGUCAGUGUUCGUUACUGUGUAAGGUUACGUGCGCUAUUAUUGCUUGAUAACCAUCUGUGUAUUAUGCAUGUUAGCUUAACGAUUUGUUAAUACAUGCCACGUGGUGAACUUCCAUUGGUUGGUGAUGUGGUGGAUUUUUUUUUUUAACCUUGAUCAUGACUGAAGUGAAGUCACCUUGGCAAUGUCCAACCAAUUCACCUUGGAUGCGAAUGAAUUAAAAGCACGAUCAUGCCGGCCUGAGAUUAGCAGCGGUAGUUAUGUUCAUUUGGCCAUUAUCAUGUAAUUAAAGUGACCAUAACCAUGAGAUCAUGUUGAUAGUCAUUACUGUGCAUUAAUCAUGAUUGUAGCUGUUGCUAUACCGUUACUAUACGUCCAACUCACUUUAAUAAUGACUACCGAACUCCCUCUAUAAAAAAAAAAAAAA